rnacentral:rRNA from 1 species
UACGUAGGUGGCAAGCGUUGUCCGGAAUUAUUGGGCGUAAAGCGCGCGCAGGCGGUCCUUUUAAGUCUGAUGUGAAAGCCCACGGCUCAACCGUGGAGGGUCAUUGGAAACUGGGGGACUUAGUGCAGGAGAGAAGAGUGGAAUUCCACGUGUAGCGGUGAAAUGCGUAGAGAUGUGGAGGAACACCAGUGGCGAAGGCGACUCUUUGGCCUGUAACUGACGCUGAGGCGCGAAAGCGUGGGGGAGCAAACAGG